GGAGAUACUCCCCCCAUAGAUUCAGACGCAGUAGAUCUGCUGGAAGAUCUCGCAGAAGACGCAGCAGUUCCUCGCGCAGCAAAAGUCGGUCUCCUAUCAAGCGCAGAAGUCGCACUCGUUCUAGAAGCCGCUCUCGUCGCAGGGUUUCCAGAAGUGUCUCUCGAGGAAAACGCGCUCGACGUGCACACAGCAAGUCCAGCAGUCGCAGCCGUAGUCGAAGUAGGGGGCGUCGGCGCAGUCGAAGUUCAUCGUAAAGCU